rnacentral:lncRNA from 1 species
CAGAUCAAACGAUGGUGGGUGGGAUCCACGAUUGAUUCUCCUCCUCGUAGGCAGCACACAGCCGCCGGAGAAGCCCGUGGUGAACGAUGUCACGCCGACCUCCUCGUGGCCAUCCCCAACCUCUCAUAGGUACUGCACUAACUCCCCAGGGGCACAUCAAGUGUUCGGUCCUUAUUUUGUCUGCUGAUUCCUAGUGCUGGCGUUCGAAAGAGAUUAGUGAUUGGUGGCUCAGGUUAGGUACUCUCCUAUUUGUUGCUAGACAUUGCUAAUCUUCCGGCCUCUCUAAUCACCCCACGGACGGAGCUCAUGUAUAGAGGUUGGAUGCAACUGGCACCAAUGAUUCUCAUGUAACGAAGAAGCAGCCCCUGUAAAAUUUGUUCAUGAAUGACCCCAAAAAUCCAUACGUCCAGGUGAUGGAAUGCACAAAUCAAUUCUAAACUCACCUACAAUCAAAGCUUUGUUGCUUGUGUCACUGUGUGUGUUAUGGAAAAAUAGCCCAUUAUAUACACGGUUUCAAUCCAUCCAAUCACUUCAUUUUCUUCUUUCUCGGCCUAUCACCCGGCCUCCAACCUAGACAUUUCUGAAGUAUUACUGUGCUACCUAAAAUGCAACAUGCAUGAUAUUAGUGUUUUAUCAUUGACUUGUACUUUUCCCCAUGUUAUUAAUGUAUGUAGGGUUGCAAGUCGUUCAUUCAGGAAGACCUCCUCAACAAUUACACUGAGCAGAUGGUCAACUACUGCAGAAUGGCUAUGGACAGUUGUCACGAAGAUGCAUUGGCUACUGCCUACUGCGGCCUUGUUUUGAAGGAGAAGGAUCAACAAAUAUCAGAAUUAGAGACCAAACUAUACUCUCUAGCGUCAGAGCUGCAUACUUCAGGGGAGAAGGACACGUCGAAUAAGAUAAUGCUCGCCAAGAAAUUACAAGAAGGGAGAUACAGAUGUAUUAUAUACUUAAUACUUUUUUGGUUCGUCAUGAUCAUAUAUGUUGCUAGAAUUUUAAUCCCCACUUUGUAAGACUAGAUGUCAGCUAGAGAAUUUUUUUGUGGGCCUGAGAUCAUUCAUUGUUGAACUAAAUGAACGUAUUGGAUCUUGGCGGUUUUCUUGCUCUUACUGAUUCAUAAUGCGCCGAUGGUCCAAGAGAAAGCGUCUGAACAUUCAGAUCGAUUUUGAAACAUGAUUGAUCAAUUCCAUGUAAUGUAUGAUUGGCACGGGCAUGCAUGGCCACUGUGAUAAGGAUU